rnacentral:rRNA from 1 species
UACGAAGGGGGCUAGCGUUGCUCGGAAUGACUGGGCGUAAAGGGCGCGUAGGCGGUUCGUACAGUCAGACGUGAAAUUCCCGGGCUCAACCUGGGGACUGCGUUUGAUACGUGCGGGCUUGAGUUCGGAAGAGGGUCGUGGAAUUCCCAGUGUAGAGGUGAAAUUCGUAGAUAUCGGGAGGAACACCUGUGGCGAAAGCGGCGCACUGGACCACAACUGACGCUGAGGCGCGAAAGCUAGGGGAGCAAACGGG